rnacentral:tRNA from 10 species
UUGCCUGUAGCUCAGAGGAAAGAGCAACCGCCUUCUAAGCGGUUGGUCGCUGGUUCGAAUCCGGCCAGGCGAGCCA